CAGCAGUGUAACGGGUAGUAAAUGCAUCCUGACCUGCUAUGUAGUUUCUGUUUCUGAUUUUUGAUUUCCAUGAGGUGGCUGGGGUCCUGUUGGAGUCUGUGAUCUACAAAUGUGCUCAAACUGCGUUCUUCUUGGGUGAUCGGUUCCUACUCUCAGGAUUUGCCGAACGGCCUAGCAUUUUGGUAUCUCCAGAGGCUGCUUGGAAGACUUGUGCCUUUAGGGUGAAUCCCUGUGAAUAACCCAAUUCUUUGUCGUUGUUACCAACUGAAGCAUUGUGGGAGAUCGGAACAUGGAGACAGCUGAUGCAGCUGUUGGGGGUUUCUGCACUCGAGCGACUUUUCUCUCUCUCCCUCCCAGUCUCCAGGGUUCUGAGCCGGGAGAACUGAAAUAAGUGACGCCACAGAUUGUAACAUCGAAACAGCGAGCUGUUGUCCUCCCCUCUCGCUGUGGCAGGAGCAACAUCUCUUUCUCCCUUGCUAGUGUGGCAACUGUUUGAGUCGUCGAAGUGUUGGGAUAGACGGUAGCUUUUUGGUGGACUCUACAUCACGGUCUCUUUGGAGGAUCUGCUAUUGCUGGCAUGAUGGGUGGUGGGUGUGGACUGCUGCUUCCUGCUGGGGGAGGGAGAGGGAAGAGGGAGGAGGGAGGAGGGUUGAUGCUUUUGCCGCCGUUUGUGCAUGGAAGUGGGGAGAGGUGCUUUGGGGUUCUAAUGUUUCUCUGUCACUCAUUCUUUGUUUUUUUUAACUGUCUGUUUCAUGAAUGCCUGUGAAGAGUAAGGCUUUCAGGUAUACAUUCACUGAUAUUAAAUUGAACCAUCGAAAAUUGGUGAAUCAAUCGAUAACUUUGUAAAAUUCAUAAAAGUGGCAAAAUCAAUUUACUUAUCUUUUAUUCAAAACAGAGAGGGAAGAGAAUUGAAAAUAUAAUAUGGGCUGUGACAAGUGUUAUUCAUGGCUGUCACCUCUUUAAGCCAUGUUGAUGGGUUAAAGAGGGUGAUGUCAAUAACUGCUCUCUGUAACAAUGUUGAUGGGCUGUUCCAGAGUGGUCGGUGAAGAGCCAUUGAAUAAAUCAUGUAUAUUUUGAUUUGGCUUCCUGUGUCUGGUGAAUAUAAGUCUGUAUUUUCUGCAGCUGACUUAGUUAGGGCUGAAGAUUUUACUCUGCAACACACACACAAUGCUGGAGGAACUCAGAAAGCCAGGCGGCAUCUAUGGAAAGGAGUAACAGCUGCUGUUUCCGGCUCAGAGCCUGCAUCAGGAUUCGUCAUUUAGCUUGAGAUUCAUUUUCUUGCAGGCACUAACAGGAAAAUAAAGAAAUACAAUAGAGUUUACGAGAACUAUAAACUGACAAGCAAUGAAUGUGCAAAAGACAGAUCGUGCAAAUAAAACUUCAGUAAAUAAAUAAUACUGAGAAAGUGAAUUGUCGCGUCCUUGAAAGUGAGUCUGUAGGUUGUGGUCCGGUCACAAACAAGAGAAAGUCUGCAGAUGUUGGAAAUCCAAGCAACACACACAAAAUGCUGAAGGAAACACUUUUCUAUGGACGUUGCCUGGCCUGGUGAGUUCCUCCAGCAUCUGGAGUGGGAUCAGUUCAGAGUGGAGGAGAUUGAAGUAAUUCAUGUUGGAUCAGCAGCGUGAUGGCUGCAGGGUAAUAAUGGUUCCUGAACCUGGUGAUGUGGGAUCCAAGGCUCCUGUAACUCCAGUGCCACGUUAGAAGCGAGAAGAGUAGACGUGCUCAGUGGUGGACAGGGCUUUCCAUGUAAUGGAUGGGGCUGCACCGACCACAUUCUGCUGACUUCUCCAUUCCUGA